CAUGUAGGCGGUUGUUUAAGUCUGAUGUGAAAGCCCUGGCUCAACCCAGGAAGUGCAUUGGAUACUGGACAACUUGAGUACGGGAGAGGAAAGUGGAAUUUCGAGUGUAGGGUGAAAUCCGUAGAUAUUCGAAGGAACACCAGUGGCGAAGGCGGCUUUCUGGACCGAUACUGACGCUGAGAUGCGAAAGCGUGGGGAAGCAAACA
rnacentral:rRNA from 1 species